CAUGGAAAUAUACAAAAGCAUGUGGGUGGAUAAGCAUCUUCAAUAUGAUCUAACAUCUUCAACUAUCAAAUCAUCCUUUCUAGUCCCUCUCAGUGGUACCUGCCAUAUUUAUAAAUGGAAUUCAGCAUAAUGAGAAGGCAUACCAAUGCGAGGCAGAUCUUCUCUGUACUUUUUCAUAAGAACUCAAUGAGCUUCUGUAGGAACUUUAGUCUAUUGAUGGGGUAGAGUAACCCAGUUGUAGAUCCAACAAUAAAUCAAAAGUGACUCCAGGAAUGAGUCCAAAAACAUGCGUGUUAUUUGAGGAUUCUUCAAGAAUAGGAUUGGUAGUUUGUGGUUAAUCACAACAAAAGUGUUGUACAAUUGAACCACACAGUCCUGGAUUACCCAAGAAAGUGGAGACAGGAAAAAUGUCGAACUGGCCUUUAUAGGCCCU
rnacentral:misc_RNA from 1 species